UGCAGUAUCUAUGCACCAUCAUAAGGAUCCUCAUUUCAGAGCACUAGACAACAGAAGACUUAGAGAGGUAUCAAGGAAAUCCUGAAUGUCUAUGGGGUGUACAUUGGCGACGUCAACCUGAGAGAAAAGUUGCGUGUCAUUUCUGCUGAAGAGUAUUAAGAAUAGAUGCACCAGGAUGACUAGCAUUGAAACAGAUAUCUAUGAGAGCUGAUUAUGUAUCCUCGGGUAAAUAAAUGAAUUCUGCCAGAAGAAGACAAAGUAAAGUACAUUUUAACAAUGGACUGCAAUGACAGGAAAUAAGAAUUCAUCAUUUUUUCCAAAAUGGGAGGCCCAAGGCAAUACUUAAAGGAAGGCUGAGGAGGAAGGAUGGUUGGAGUGUAAGAGCUUAAGAUCGGCCUUGGCAACAUGGGGAGACUACAUCUCAAAAUAACAAAAAAAGGAAGAAGAAAGACUAUUUAUUUGGCACACCAAUGUGGAAGGAA